GAUGAAGAACGUAGCGAAAUGCGAUACGUAAUGUGAAUUGCAGAAUUCAGUGAAUCAUCGAGUCUUUGAACGCACAUUGCGCCCCCUGGUAUUCCGGGGGGCAUGCCUGUCCGAGCGUCAUUGCUGCCCUCAAGCACGGCUUGUGUGUUGGGCCCCGUCCUCCGAUCCCGGGGGACGGGCCCGAAAGGCAGCGGCGGCACCGCGUCCGGUCCUCGAGCGUAUGGGGCUUUGUCACCCGCUCUGUAGGCCCGGCCGGCGCUUGCCGAACAACCCAAAUUUUUUAUCCAGGUUGACCUCGGAUCAGGUAGGGAUACCCGCUGAACUUAAGCAUAUCAAUAAGCGGAGGA
rnacentral:misc_RNA from 1 species